GACGAACGCUGGCGGCGUGCUUAACACAUGCAAGUCGAACGGAAAGGCCCUGCUUUUGUGGGGUGCUCGAGUGGCGAACGGGUGAGUAACACGUGAGUAACCUGCCCUUGACUUUGGGAUAACUUCAGGAAACUGGGGCUAAUACCGGAUAGGAGCUCCUGCUGCAUGGUGGGGGUUGGAAAGUUUCGGCGGUUGGGGAUGGACUCGCGGCUUAUCAGCUUGUUGGUGGGGUAGUGGCUUACCAAGGCUUUGACGGGUAGCCGGCCUGAGAGGGUGACCGGCCACAUUGGGACGGAGAUACGGCCCAGACUCGUACGGGAGGCAGCAGUGGGGAAUAUUGCACAAUGGGCGGAAGCCUGAUGCAGCAACGCCGCGUGCGGGAUGACGGCCUUCGGGUUGUAAACCGCUUUCGCCUGUGACGAAGCGUGAGUGACGGUAAUGGGUAAAGAAGCACCGGCUAACUACGUG
rnacentral:rRNA from 1 species